UCCGGGGGCUAACCCUUCCGGCCGGGCGUCCCUGCGGGGGCAUCCGUACACCCUUUGUGAAAAACCCAAGUUGCUUCGGCAGCUCGUCCCCCACCCUAACCGGAGGGGGGCGGUCAGCCUGCCGACGGCCCCAUGAGAAACUCUUUUGCAAGUUUAGUAUACUCUGUCUGACCAAAAUGUCGAAUGACUAUAAAACUUUCAACAACGGAUCUCUUGGUUCCCGCAUCGAUGAAGAACGCAGCGAAACGCGAUAGUUAAUGUGAAUUGCAGAAUUCAGUGAAUCAUCGAGUCUUUGAACGCACAUUGCGCCUUUUGGUAUUCCGAAAGGCACGUCUGUUCGAGCGUCAGUAUACACCUUCCGCCGACCGGUUUUGCGACCGGCCGGCGGGUCCCUGGCGAGGGGAUGUGACCGCCGCGCCCUCACGGGUGCGGGCAGGUUUCCCCCGCUUAAACGCGGAGAAAGCUAGCGGCCACCGGCCACGACUGCGAGACUAGUAAAUACACCUGUCCCUGCGUCGAGGCGAGGCGAACCGCCCCCAAAAACCGUUCCCUUUUCGGAAAGGAACCUGACUCUUGACCUCGGAUCAGAUGAGGAUACCCGCUGAACUUAAGCAUAUCAAUAAGCGGAGGAAAAGAAACCAACAGGGAUUGCCUCAGUAGCGGCGAGUGAAGCGGCAAAAGCUCAGAUUUGAAAUCCGGCAGCCUUUGGCGGCCCGAGUUGUAAUCUGGAGAGGAAACCACGGCGAGACCGCCCGUCCAAGUACCUUGGAACAGGACGUCUUAGAGGGUGAGAACCCCGUCUCCGGCGGGUCGGUUUAGCCACACGUGGUUCCUUCGACGAGUCGAGUUGUUUGGGAAUGCAGCUCAAACUGGGUGGUAAAUUCCAUCUAAAGCUAAAUAUUGGCGAGAGACCGAUAGCGAACAAGUACCGUGAGGGAAAGAUGAAAAGAACUUUGGAAAGAGAGUUAAACAGUACGUGAAAUUGCUGAAAGGGAAACGCUUGGAGUCAGUCGCUUCGCUGGGAAUUCAGCUGGGCUUUUGUCCGGUGUACUUUCCCAUUGAGGGGUCAACAUCGAUUUCAGANCGUGGGAAAUGGGCAGUAGGAAUGUGACACCUUUCGGUGUGUUAUAGCCUGCGGUCAGUACUGCGUUCGGGAUCG
rnacentral:rRNA from 1 species